AUUUUGUUGAAUUUUUUUACUAUCAAUUUUGGACAGAUGACAGAAUCAAAUACUAAAUCAUAAGAUUCCAACAAGGAUUAACUAGUAUAUUACAUCAAGUCUCAGGGUAAAAUAGUAAUUCAUCCUGAAUAUCAAUUAUCAAUUAAUCAGCAGGCACAAAGUGAAGCAGAGAAAAUACAUUUUCCCAUGUCAUUCACAACCAUCAAGAUAAAACAGAUGUGAGGAAUAAGCUUAAACAAAUAUAAUUCCAUUUUCCUUGAUAGUGUCAAGAACAAUCCCAAGCUUACCUUCAAUCCGCUCAUUCUUUUUAGGUUCAUAAGACAUUGCAUAUACAUCAGCUUCCUUUGAUCUCUCAGCAAUAAGUUGCCCUACAACUCUACAGGCAUUGUGAUCAGUAAGAGAUGGUAAGCUGUUUCUGAGAUCCUUGGCAUUUGUAGUAGCAACUGAUAUCACUUUACUAGUUCCCCUGUGCAUAACUUUUGCAUGGAUAAAUCUCUUUGAAAAGAAUACAUUUAGUAAGAAUGGCCUCAUGUACAUGUCUGUCUUCUGUUUCCAUGAUUUCUUGUUUGGUUUCUUAGCAGCUUCACCCCGAGAUCUCCUCGUCCAGGCAGCUCGAAUGAAAGAAUUCUUGUUGAGAGUGGGAUUAGAAGGGAUUGAGAGUGAAUUGUUAUUGUUAGAGAUGGUUACACUAGGAAAUGAAGAAACCCAUGAGAGAGAAGCAGAUUUGCAAGCGCGAGUUGAGUGAGUCGGUAGUGAGUCAGCAGAUACGAGUGAGCGAGCUGCACAACAAGAAGAAGAUAUUAUGCACGCCAUCUACCUUGUUGAGCA
rnacentral:misc_RNA from 1 species